CUAGCUAGCUGCCUGAGCUGCACCGGCAUGCGUGGUGCAGCCUGUAGCCUUCUAAUUUGCAACCAUGCAAUUGGAGAUGACUUCUGAAUUUUGAAUUUGUUUUGUUUCAGGAGAUUGAGAAGUCAGACAUCUGGAUUUUGGUGUAGAACACAUGUUAUGCUCUGGGCAUAUGAAGUUCCAAGGGCAAGAAACAGUAUAACUGGAGGCAAGAGAAGAACUUUCUGUCAUAUACCAUCAGGAUAGCAAAGCUGAUACAAUUUUUUAAAGCAAUGAUUGUUCAGUGUGAUCCUUAAGUCCUUCACACUCAUUCUUACCGGCCAUGCACUAGAAAUGAUCAUGUCAUCUUAUGUAUCACUUCAUAUGUAUGUAUGUCUCUCGUGGAUGCGCCAGAUUGACAAAUAUGUGUGCCCGGGAAGGGUCUAGUUUGACGUGUACUCGAAUAUUUGUGCAACUGAUGGUCUAGCUUGACAUGUACUUAAAUAAUUCCAAUAUUUGUGCCUGGAAUUGUCCAGUCUAA